GUCCAGGGAUGGGACAUAGCCUAGUGGACAUGACAUCUGCCCGGUAAGCGGAACACUGUGGGUUCGUUUCCCAUCCCUGGACA
rnacentral:tRNA from 1 species